rnacentral:lncRNA from 1 species
AUCAUAAUGAAUGCUAUGUGGCGCCUUCGGACGCAUCGUCGUUACAAACCAUUGUGGGUACUACUCAACACGGGGACGAAGAUCAGGACAUGAACCCGUUUAGGGAUUGGAUUGCCGAUGAACUGUUCAAUAGAUCGUAGCUUUUUGUAACGAUGACAUUUGUGGAAUGUUGAACAACAUUUGCUUUGAAUAAAAAAAAUGGCUGCUAGCACCGUGGCAGCCAAAAAAAGAAUGGCGAAAAAAAGGGCGCUGUGCACCAGCUCCUGGAUUUGGCGCCAACAGCCUUGAUCUGAUGAUGUUAGGGGUAAAG